rnacentral:rRNA from 1 species
GCAGGGAAUAUUGCGCAAUGGACGGAAGUCUGACGCAGCGACGCCGCGUGGAUGAUGAAGGCCUUCGGGUUGUAAAAUCCUUUUCAGGGGGAAGAGCGAGGACGGUACCCCUGGAAUAAGCGUCGGCUAACUACGUGCCAGCAGCCGCGGUAAGACGUAGGACGCGAGCGUUAUCCGGAUUUACUGGGCGUAAAGCGUCUGUAGGCGGAAGUGUAAGUUGGACGUGAAAGCUCCGGGCUCAACUCGGAGAGGCCGUUCAAUACUGCACAACUAGAGGCCAUCAGAGGGGCGUGGAAUUUCCGGUGUAGCGGUAAAAUGCGCAGAUAUCGGAAGGAACACCAGUGGCGAAGGCGGCGCCCUGGGGUGGGCCUGACGCUAAGAGACGAAAGCUAGGGGAGCGAACAGGAUUAGAAACCCUAGUAGUCC